GAUGAACGCUGGCGGCAUGCCUAAUACAUGCAAGUCGUGCGCCCUGCACCUUUGUAAUUUCGCUUAUUCAACUCAAGUUCGAACUUAUAUAAGUUUGGUUUUGAAAGUGUAUAAGAAACAUGGAAGUUACAAGUGUGCAGGGAGCGGCGGACGGGUGAGUAACACGUUAGAAUCUGCCCCAAACUGAGGGAUAAGCUCGGGAAACCGAGUCUAAUACCGCAUAUGGUCUUCGGAUUAAAGCCUUCGGGCGGUUUGGGAGGAGCUUGCGUACGAUUAGUUUGUUGGUGAGGUAAUGGCUUACCAAGACUACGAUCGUUAGCUGGUCUGAGAGGAUGAUCAGCCACACUGGAACUGAGACACGGUCCAGACUCCUACGGGAGGCAGCAGUAGGGAAUUUUCCACAAUGGGCGAAAGCCUGAUGGAGCAAUGCCGCGUGCAGGAUGAAUGUCUUCGGAUUGUAAACUGCUUUUAUGAGGGAAGAUUAUGACGGUACCUCAUGAAUAAGCCUCGGCUAACUCCGUG
rnacentral:rRNA from 1 species